GGUUCUGGGAAAUAAGAAAUCAUUAGAAAAAGAUUUCUGCCUUCUAGAAGUACACAGUCUAAUGGUGAGAUAGGCAGUUAUUAAUGGCUCUCCUACUAGGAGCCUGACAUCAUGGUGAGCAUCGAGAAAGGAAUAACCUAAGCUGAAGACACGCCUUUUCAGGAGGCCAAGUUCCACGUUCUGUGCAUGCUUUUGGCGAAAGUCAGGCUGUGGCUUGCCUUUUCACUUCUUGUGUCCUGUUUAAGAAAUAUCUGCUAUCCCAAGCAUCUGGCAUCUUUCUUGACAUAUGUAGCAGUUGCUUUUUGACAGCUUGCUUCUUCAGUGAAUGAAUAAAUUAAUAAAGAGAAAUGUGAUGUUCAGUGAUCCAUUUUGCAGGCAUGCUUCUGAUGUGAGUUCAGGAGAAGACACUGGCAAGGACAGCAAAGAACAGGAGAACACUCUAGCUUCCCUGAUAGCAUUCAAGGUGCUGUCCAAAGUGAGUUUUCCUCAAGCAGAGAGAUGCACUGCCUCUUUUAUGCUUUGUUUUUCUUACUUGCCUACUCUAUUUACACCUUCUAAGUAAGGACCAAUCAGCAAAACCCCAAGAGGGUCACUGUCAUGAAAAUAAUUAUGAACUGGCUGAGUGCUUGCAAUGUUUAUUAUUUAGGUUUUUAAGAACAGAUAAUUAAAGGCCCAAGAGAAUUUAGUCUCUCCCAAUUGUAAAAGUGGGGUCUUAUAGAAACCCACAGAGCGCUUGGGGUUGUACACUUACUUCUAAAAGUUCUCUUAAUAAAUCACUGCCCUGGUGCACUCCCUGGGGUAUUUCAUGACCAAGUGAAAUCACUUACUGUUUCAAAUUUGCAUUUUUCCUGAGUUUGCAUAUUUUUCUUGCAUGUGCUUUGUUACCAAUGUACCAAGUCCUUAUACAUUUGGACUGCAUUUACCGCAGUUUGGAAUGGUUUCUCAGAAAUGGGACAUUAAAAUCCUGGAGUGUGACACUGACACGUGGAAAGAGCUUCCUUUGUAAGCUGCUCAGGCAUGCUGAGAAUUAGUGUAGAAAUGAUUUUUUCCUUAAUUUUCUUGGAUAGCAACCUAUGUAGGAUCUUAUAAUUAUGUGUAGGAAUUCAUUAAAGAAACUCUCUCCAUUGCUAGAAAUCCAAGCUGGUAGUGAGGAGAGAGCUGUGUGAUUUGUUGCAGCAGAAGUAUUAUGGAAAUAUUUACUAAAUAUCUUCCAUGUGCUGGGCAUUGAGUGAAACACUUUCAUAUCCCUUGUAACAUGUGUCUUAGUCUAAGGUAAUACUUUAAUGUAAUUGUAACAAAUGGAUAAAAGGGGAAUUGUCGUCAUUUUACAGAUGAAACAUUAGAGACUGUAGGAAACUAGGCCCAGAACAGUUAAACAGAGUAGACAUAACCUCUUACCACUUUAUCUGCUACUAUGUAACAAAUCACCCUAAAAUUUAGUGUCUUAAAACAA
rnacentral:lncRNA from 1 species